rnacentral:rRNA from 1 species
UACGGAGGGUGCAAGCGUUAUCCGGAUUCACUGGGUUUAAAGGGUGCGUAGGCGGGUUGGUAAGUCCGUGGUGAAAUCCCCAGCUUAACUUGGGAACUGCCGUGGAUACUAUCAAUCCUUGAAUAUCGUGGAGGUAAGCGGAAUAUGUCAUGUAGCGGUGAAAUGCUUAGAUAUGACAUAGAACACCAAUUGCGUAGGCAGCUUACUACACGAUCAUUGACGCUGAGGCACGAAAGCGUGGGGAGCAAACAGG